UUUGGUUACUAAGCAACUGCUAAACGGACCAAAAUACUGAAUGUGAUAACAAGGACUGCACUUACCUUUCAUGACAAAAGCAACUCUCUUUCCCCAGGCUUUCGAAUGACAAUGACGACACCACACUCUGCAGUUGCAGGGCAGGCCUAUUCCAUACCAGGGAUUGUGGUGACAGCCAGGCUCGGAGGGGCUGCUGUCUCCAUUCACAGAAGGGACCAGAAACCACAGGAGGAGACAAUGGGAGGAACCAGGGAUGCAGUUGGCGAGGAAACGCUCUGAUUAUUAUUUUAAAAGUCGGCCAGAUGCAGUGGCUCAUGCCUGUAAUCCCAGCACUUGGGGAGGGCAAGGCAGGUGGAUCACCUGAGGUCGCGAGUUCGAGACUAGCUUGGCCAACAUGGU
rnacentral:lncRNA from 1 species